rnacentral:rRNA from 1 species
AACGCUGGCGGCGUGCCUAAUACAUGCAAGUCGAGCGAGCGGAACCAACAGAUUUACUUCGGUAAUGACGUUGGGAAAGCGAGCGGCGGAUGGGUGAGUAACACGUGGGGAACCUGCCCCUAAGUCUGGGAUACCAUUUGGAAACAGGUGCUAAUACCGGAUAAUAAAGCAGAUCGCAUGAUCAGCUUUUGAAAGGCGGCGUAAGCUGUCGCUAAGGGAUGGCCCCGCGGUGCAUUAGCUAGUUGGUAAGGUAACGGCUUACCAAGGCGACGAUGCAUAGCCGAGUUGAGAGACUGAUCGGCCACAUUGGGACUGAGACACGGCCCAAACUCCUACGGGAGGCAGCAGUGGGGAAUCUUCCGCAAUGGACGAAAGUCUGACGGAGCAACGCCGCGUGAACGAUGACGGCCUUCGGGUUGUAAAGUUCUGUUAUACGGGACGAAUGGCGUAGCGGUCAAUACCCGUUACGAGUGACGGUACCGUAAGAGAAAGCCACGGCUAACUACGUG